CCUACGGGAGGCAGCAGUGGGGAAUAUUGCACAAUGGGCGCAAGCCUGAUGCAGCCAUGCCGCGUGUGUGAAGAAGGCCUUCGGGUUGUAAAGCACUUUCAGCGGCGAGGAAGGCGGUGAGGUUAAUAACCUCAUCGAUUGACGUUACCCGCAGAAGAAGCACCGGCUAACUCCGUGCCAGCAGCCGCGGUAAUACGGAGGGUGCAAGCGUUAAUCGGAAUUACUGGGCGUAAAGCGCACGCAGGCGGUCUGUCAAGUCGGAUGUGAAAUCCCCGGGCUCAACCUGGGAACUGCAUUCGAAACUGGCAGGCUAGAGUCUUGUAGAGGGGGGUAGAAUUCCAGGUGUAGCGGUGAAAUGCGUAGAGAUCUGGAGGAAUACCGGUGGCGAAGGCGGCCCCCUGGACAAAGACUGACGCUCAGGUGCGAAAGCGUGGGGAGCAAACAGGAUUAGAUACCCGUGUAGUC
rnacentral:rRNA from 1 species